rnacentral:rRNA from 1 species
GACGAACGCUGGCGGCGUGCUUAACACAUGCAAGUCGAACGGAAAGGCCCUGCUUUUGUGGGGUGCUCGAGUGGCGAACGGGUGAGUAACACGUGAGUAACCUGCCCUUGACUUUGGGAUAACUUCAGGAAACUGGGGCUAAUACCGGAUAGGAGCUCCUGCUGCAUGGUGGGGGUUGGAAAGUUUCGGCGGUUGGGGAUGGACUCGCGGCUUAUCAGCUUGUUGGUGGGGUAGUGGCUUACCAAGGCUUUGACGGGUAGCCGGCCUGAGAGGGUGACCGGCCACGUUGGGACUGAGAUACGGCCCAGACUCCUACGGGAGGCAGCAGCGGGGAAUAUUGCACAAUGGGCGGAAGCCUGAUGCAGCAACGCCGCGUGCGGGAUGACGGCCUUCGGGUUGUAAACCGCUUUCGCCUGUGACGAAGCGUGAGUGACGGUAAUGGGUAAAGAAGCACCGGCUAACUACGUG